GGAAAAAUGGAUGGAUUUUUUAGGGUAACAAUGGUGAAAGUACCUGAUUUUGUAGAAUGGUUCCCUGCUCUUAGAAAUCAAUGCAGAGAUAUGUGUUUGAAGAAUUGUUCCUGCAUAGCUUAUUCCAAUAAUAAUGGCAUUGGUUGUAUGUCAUGGAGUCGGGACUUAAUUGUCAGAAUUUGUAAAAAAACUAGAACUUGCAGAGAAAAAUAAAUAAUUUGAGAGUUAAGAAUUGAAGGAAGGCACACAUCUAUUUCACAAACGAGAAUGCCUAUUUAUAGGCUUACAACCAAAUAGAAAUUGCAAAAAAAUCUCAGCUACUUUCAGAUUUUAUUGGCACUACUUCUACUAACUGAAAACAAAAAAUUAUGGAGCAAGAAUCUGAUAUGAAACAAUAACAAAGACUAAGUCUAACUAAGACUUUUUCAAACUUCAGAGGCAAACUCUCAUGAGUUCUAACACUCCUCCUUGAGAUUUGCCUUGGACAUGCCAAGCUUCAACCUUAGGAACUCCAGCCUUGAUUUAGGAAGUGCCUUAGUCAUUAUGUCAGCAAGUUGCACAUCAGUUGAGCAAGAAUGCAACUUGACAAGUGAAUUCUUUUCAGCUUCCCUUAUAGAAUGAAAUUUUACAUUUAUGUUUUUAGUCCUGCCAUGUUGGACAGGAUUUUGAGCAAUGGCAAUGACUGACUUGUUGUCACAGUAAAGCUCUGUUGGUGAGCUUUGUUCCUGGCCUAGAUCAACAAGCAAUUUCCUUAACCAUAUUCCUUGAUUUGUAGUAGCUGCUGAGGAGAUAUAGUUAGCUUCUACAGUUGAUUGUUCCACUACUUCUUGCUUUCUUGAAUUCUAGCAAACGACACUUGAACUGAUUGUAAAUACAUAACCUGAAGUGCUCUUCAUGUCAUCAACACUUCCUGCCCAAUCACUAUCAGCAUAGCCAUCUAGCUUAACUCCUCCUGUCUUUAAAUACCAGAUGCCAAGAUUUGUUGUACCUCUAACAUACUUCAGCACCCUUUUUGCAACUCCCAUGUGAACAUUGCUAGGUGAACUCAUGAAUCUUGAAAGCAAACCAAUUGGAAACAUCAAGUCAGGUCUGGUUGCUGUCAAGUAUAGUAGGCUGCCUACCAAGCUUCUAUAUGCAGAGGGUUCCUUAAGUUUCUCACCAUCAUUCUUUGAAAUUCUCUCAUUUUGUGCCAACGGAGUUGCUACUUCUUUGCAUGAUUCUAGCUUGAAUUUCUUGAGAAUAUCAACAACAUAUUUUCUCUAUGAAAUGAAGAUACUUGAGUUGCAUUGGUAUAUUUCCAUUCCAAGGAAGUAGUUCAUGAUGCCAAGGUCAGACAUCUCAAAUACAUCUUGCAUUUCCAUUUUGAACUCAGCCAACAAUCGUACAUUGCUUCCAAUCACUAGCAUGUCAUCAACAUAAAGUGACAUUACCAAUUGCAAACCAUCCUCAUUUUGUUUCAAAUACAAAGUAGCUUCAUUUUCACUCCUCCUAAAUCCAAGUUGGAUUAGAUGAGAGUCAAUUCUGCUAUACCAGGCCCUUGGUGCUUGCUUCAAACCAUAGAGAGCCUUUUGCAGCUUGUACACUUUGUGUUCAUGCCCAGUAACCUCAAAGCCUUCUAGUUGUUGAACAUAAAUUUCUUCAAGAAGUAUACCAUUUAGAAAAGCUGACUUGACAUCUAAAUGAUACACUUUCCAUCCUAUUUGACCAACAAGUGCAAGUAACAGCCUUAUAGUGUCAUGUCUGGCUACUGGUGCAAAUGUAUCACCAUAGUCCACUCCAACAACUUGAGCAAAACCCUUCACAACCAAUCUAGCCUUGUGCUUGAAGAUUGAACCAUCUGAAUUGAAUUUGGUUCUAAAAACCCAUUUUACACCAAUUGCCUUCUUAGCUUCAGGUAAUUUUGUCAACUUCCAAGUUCCAUUUCUUUCAAUAACAUCAAUUUCAGCUUUCAUAGCCUCAAUCCAUUCUGGAAAUCUUGCAACUUCUAUGUAACAUGUAGGCUCAGCAUGUACAAGAUUGCACCUCUCAUACACAUUAGAUAAUGGCCUUACCUGAAGCACUGGUGUGUCUGAAGUUGCUUCAACAUCAAGUGGAUCUUCUGCUGGUUCAAGAGUAAAUGGAGUGGUUUGAUCACAUUUAUGGACUUUCUUCAAGUCCCAAUUCCAAUAGGAAUUUUCAUCAAAGUGCGCAUCUCUACUUAUCACAAUUUUCAUUCUACUCAAGCUAUAAAUUCUGUAACCUUUUGAUUCUGCUGCAUACCCAACAAAAACACCCUUCUCAGCUCUUUCAUCAAGCUUACCUCUCUUCAUAGAUGGCACAUGAAGGUAACACAAUGAACCGAACACUUUCAGGUGCUUGACAUAUGGUUUUACACCAGACCAUGCCUCUAUUGGUGUUUUGCUCUGAACAGACUUAGUCGGUAGUCUAUUAAGCAAAUAUACUGAGGUGUUAACUGCUUCAGCCCAUAGANNNNNNNNNNNNNNNNNNNNNNNNNNNNNNNNNNNNNNNNNNNNNNNNNNNNNNNNNNNNNNNNNNNNNNNNNNNNNNNNNNNNNNNNNNNNNNNNNNNNNNNNNNNNNNNNNNNNNNNNNNNNNNNNNAUUUGGUUUUUAGAAAAUAAACCCAAGUCAUUCUACUGAAAUCAUUAAUAGAUAGUACAAAAUAAACAUUGUUGCUCAAUGAGGCUACGCUCAUUGGUCCACAAAUAUCUGAAUGAACUAAUUCCAUCUUGUGAGUAGUUCUCUUGGACAUAUUUGAGGGAAUGAUUUGCGAUGUGCUUCCCUAUCUCACAACUUUCACAAGUUUGAGCAUUAACUGUGAUUUCAAGCAUGUCUUCAACCAUACCAGCUUCUUGCAUGAACUUCAAUGACUUCAAGUUGAAAUGACCAUAUCUUUUGUGCCAAACAACACUCUCAUCAAUCUUGGCACUAAAGACAUGACCUUCAACUAAAUCAAGCUUCAAAUAAAAGCUAUUUCCAUUCAUUUUAAUUUUUGCUAUCUCUGUUCCAUGUACAUCAGUGAUAAAACAAAAAUUUUCUUUAAAAGAGACUGCAUAUCCAUUUCUUAGCAUUUGUGUAACACUAAGAAGAUUUUGAUCUAGUUCUGGAAUGUAAAGAACAUUAGUGACAAUUUUUGUACCUCUCUUGGUGCUGAUAGCAAUUGUUUUUUUUCCUUUGGCCUGCACAACUUCACCAUUUCCCAACUUGUCCUUUGGUUGAAUUGAUCUGUCAAUGGAUGUAAAAAUUGAUAGUGUUUGGUCAUAUGACUGGUGCAACCACUGUCAAUGAGCCAAGUAUUCAGUUCAUGAGAACUGAGUGCUUGUGAUGCCAUAAAUAAAUGCUCAUCAUCUUUUUUGUCUUCUUCAAUCACAUUUGCAUGUUGUUGUGUUUGCUGCUGAGAUUGUUUUUUCUUGGCUCUGCAAUACUUCUCACUGUGGCCAAGUUUAUUACAGAAAUUACAAUUAAAAAGAGGUUUACCUUUGUAUCAACAAUCUUUCUCAACAUGGUUGAUUCUGCUGCAAUGAGAGUAAGGCGAAAAGUUUCAUUUUCUUGAAGAUCCUUCAACUUUCCCUUUGUUGUUCUUGAAGAACUUCUUUCCUUGCAGGUUUCUAGAACUCUUUCCCUUAUGAUUUGCUUGAAAAGCACCUUCAGUAGCUUCAUCACCUCUCAUUAAGACCCUUUGCUCCUGCGCAUGAAGCUUGUUGGUUAACUCUGCAAUUGUGAGACUUUGCAAGUCAUAAGACUCUUCAAUUGCAGAGAUCUUGGCUUCAAGCUUUUGAGACACUGAAACCAUGAUCUUUUCUACCACCUUUUGAUCUGUAAAUGCCUCACCAAGAAGUCUCAUUUGGUUUACAACAUCCAUUAACUUGCUAGAAUAAUCUUUCACAGAUUCGUUGUCUUUCAUCUUCAUCAAUUCAAACUCUCUCUUCAAUGUGAGGAACCUGACAGUUUUGACUUUGUCACUACCCUCAAAUUCACCUUGGAGCUUGUCUCAUACCUGUUUAGGUGUUUCCAAGUCCAUGAUUUUGGUGAAGAUGUGGUCUGCAAGUCUUGAAUGUAGGCAGGUGAUGGCUUUGUCUUUCUUGAGUUUUUCUUCCUCAUAUGCUUUCAUCUGAGCAACUGUUGGAUUUGCUCCCAAUGGUGGUGGAUAAGCUUCAGACAUCACAACAUUCCACAAACCUUGAGACGUUAAGUAAAACCUCAUCUUGACAGACCAAAUGUGAUAGUGUUCACCAUUAAACACUGGAAUAACAGAGGAAGUACUGCUGGAAGUAGACAUGUUUGCACCACAACUGCCUGAAAAAAUAAAUCACUCAGCCUCACUAUGUUUAGCACUCAAAAUACUCAAAGAAACUUUGCCUCACAACCCGUAGGAAUAGGGCUCUAAUACCACUGUCAGAAUUUUUUAAAAAACUAGAACUUGUAGAGAAAAAAUAAAUAAUUUGAGAGUUAAGAAUUGAAGGAAGGCACACAUCUAUUUCACAAAUGAGAAUGCCUAUUUAUAGGCUUACAACCAAACGGAAAUUGCAAAAAAAUCUCAGCUCCUUUCAGAUUUUAUUGACACUACUUCUACUAACUGAAAACAGAAAAUUAUGGAGCAAGAAUCUGAUAUGAAACAAUAACAAAGACUAACUCUAACUAAGACUUUUUCAAACUUCAGAGGCAAACUCUCAUGAGUUCUAACAUUAAUCGAUAUGCAUAAGUUCUCUAGUAGUGGAGCAGAUCUUUACAUUCGUGUAGCAGAUACGGAACUAGGUAAAAUGGUCUUGUUUCCUUUACCUCUUUCUCUCUCUGCUUAGAUACUGG
rnacentral:lncRNA from 1 species